rnacentral:rRNA from 1 species
GAUGAACGCUAGCUAUAGGCUUAACACAUGCAAGUCGAGGGACCGGCGCACGGGUGAGUAACGCGUAUCCAACCUGCCCAUAACUAAGGGAUAACCCAGCGAAAGUUAGAUUAAUACCUUAUGGUUAUGGUUGGGGGUGCUUCUGAUUAGCUUGUUGGCGGGGUAACGGCCCACCAAGGCAACGAUGAGUAGGGGUUCUGAGAGGAAGGUCCCCCACAUUGGAACUGAGACACGGUCCAAACUCCUACGGGAGGCAGCAGUGAGGAAUAUUGGUCAAUGGACGCAAGUCUGAAACAGCCAAGUAGCGUGGAGGAUGAAGGCUUAUGGGUUGUAAACUGCUUUUAUAUGGGGAUAGGUACCAGAUGAAUAAGGACCGGCUAAUUCCGUGCCAGCAGCCGCGGUAAUUC